ACGAAUACGAACCGUGAAAGCG
rnacentral:snRNA from 1 species